UUAUCUCUGAGCGAUACUCUGUAUCUCCUUUAAGGAUAAGAUCUUCCUUAGAGUGGUUAC
rnacentral:tRNA from 1 species